rnacentral:rRNA from 1 species
UACGUAGGGUGCGAGCGUUAAUCGGAAUUUCUGGGCGUAAAGCGUGCGCAGGCGGUUUUGUAAGUCUGACGUGAAAUCCCCGGGCUUAACCUGGGAAUUGCGUUGGAGACUGCAAGGCUGGAGUCUGGCAGAGGGGGGUAGAAUUCCACGUGUAGCAGUGAAAUGCGUAGAGAUGUGGAGGAAUACCGAUGGCGAAGGCAGCCCCCUGGGAUAACACUGACGCUCAUGCACGAAAGCGUGGGGAGCAAACAGG